rnacentral:misc_RNA from 1 species
ACGAGGACUUAGCUCUCCUCUCAGUUCACUAACACGAGGGCUAUAUACCUUAUCUGAAAACCGUGGGCUGUGAAUGGUCUUGAAUUCUUUGGAUGGAGUUGAAGUGGAGCUUGCAACCCUGGGGCUGCGAAUGCUUUUUAUCUCACCUCUGCUUCGAGUGAUCAUCCCAUCUAGAAUUUCCCCAUCAUCUGCAAAUGAGGCUGACCUACUCAUCUCUGCCUCAGUUGCUAGAUUGAAUGGUAAGGCUGGAGCCUCUUCGUACUCUGCAGCAUCCAGAUCCUGGAGGUGGGCUCCUUUGAAAAACUUGGGCAAAAUGUAUUGUCUCACAGGAACCAAAAGCAUGAUCAUUAAAGGGAAAAGAACCCCAGCAAUUGGAAUCCAUGUAAUGCCAAAACAGAC